UACAGAGGUCUCAAGCGUUGUUCGGAUUCAUUGGGCGUAAAGGGUGCGUAGGCGGCCCGGUAAGUCCGCUGUGAAAGUCGGGGGCUCAACCCUCGGAUGCCGGUGGAUACUGUCGGGCUCGAGUACGGAAGAGGCGAGUGGAAUUCCUGGUGUAGCGGUGAAAUGCGCAGAUAUCAGGAGGAACACCAAUUGCGAAGGCAGCUCGCUGGGACGUUACUGACGCUGAGACGCGAAAGCGUGGGGAGCAAACAGG
rnacentral:rRNA from 1 species